GGUUCUCAACACUGCAGCCGCGGCUCAAAAACGGCAAUAGCGAGCUAGGCUGGCUACGUCCGAUACUGUGGUGAAGCGCGCUGAGCCUAGUGUGAAAGCCCGUUGUAGCCAUAUUGCUUUCAAGAAAUCCCUGUACGCGAUUCAGUUUUUCAUCGUUGCGUACGGCUUCGUCGAAUGUGAUGCAGGCAACAGAGGUUUGGUAGGUUUGAAGACCGCGGGGGAGCUGCUAUUUCCGAAUGGCGUAGCGUUGGUAGGCUGAACGUCCGCUGAGGAGCCUUGCGUGUGUUGAGUCUCGUCGAAUGAACCCUAUUCGGAAAUGGCUUAAGAGGUCCACCUCUACCUAUCGAUACCUUGAACUCGCUAUAGUGUCAUAAUCGCAGCGGCCCAUGCGAAAUUUCGUAGGUGCAAGUUUUCGCCAAACAUCGUCAUUGGAUUAUGCCCAGGUGCUGAACUGGCGAAUUGGUGUGCUGGAAGCUGCACAGCGGAGAAGCCAAGGGGGCAAACCCUCAGCCAAAAAUUCAGCGUUGUGGCAGCGAAAGGGCUUGUGGCACCCGUGGCAGUUGUGGUUCACCCUCCAAUAUGGGCCUUAAGGUGCUCUACAAGAUCAUCAGCUGAUAUUUCUGGCAGAAGUUCACCAGACUGGAUGUUUUCUGCGCCAACUCUGGAAGAAAGCACCAACUUCUCUGUUUCCA